UGGAAGCUGUGACACCGUGAGGACAAAACCAACCAAAACAAACCAUGGCUAACAGUCAGAUUCAGCGUAUAUUUAUGAUCCAGAAUCAGAUCCAGAGGCUGAAAUUUAACAAGAGCAGCAUCAGCAAUCAGUCUCUAUGUGGUGUACAUGUGGAAAGUGCAGUUUGAUGACAACAUUGCAUGUUGUUUACUUGAUGUGCUUACACGCCGAUAGCUAAGUUAACAACACAGAGAUAUUUGAAGCAGUUUUACUCACCGCCUGCGGUUCCAACACACGAUCGUGACCCUUUUUCGUUGGGACUGCAUUAUCCUUAAGAAAUAAACGAUGUGCAAAUCCGGCAUCAAACUGGACCUUGUUUGUAAAACAAGCAUCUUCGAAAUGCAGCGAACAAACAAAAACACUUGCACAACUCCGUUGAUGCUCUGUAAAAAUAAACUCCAUCCACUGGUCCCUUAAUGCUGUUUCUCUUUUGGUAAUCUGUGCAGGGUUGUCUUG